UUUCGAAUCGUUCACAAUGGGGGCAACCCUGAUGGCGCGACGCCGCGUGGGGGAUGAAGGUCUUCGGAUUGUAAACUCCUGUCAUGGGGGACUAAUGGCCAGGCUCAUACCCUGGUUUGAAUUAACCCCAAGAGGAAGCAGUGGCUAACUCUGUGCCAGCAGCCGCGGUAAUACAGAGACUGCAAGCGUUACUCGGAUUCACUGGGCGUAAAGGGAGCGCAGGCGGGCAGGUGUGUCAGGCGUGAAAUCCCAGGGCUCAACCCUGGGGCUGCGCUUGAAACUACCUGUCUAGAGAUUCGGAGGGGUAAGCGGAAUUCGUGGUGGAGCAGUGAAAUGCGUAGAUAUCACGAGGAACACCGACGGCGAAGGCAGCUUACUGGACGAAAUCUGACGCUCAGGCUCGAAAGCGUGGGGAGCAAAAGGG
rnacentral:rRNA from 1 species